rnacentral:misc_RNA from 1 species
GAUGAAGAACGUAGCGAAAUGCGAUAAGUAAUGUGAAUUGCAGAAUUCAGUGAAUCAUCGAAUCUUUGAACGCACCUUGCGCUCCUUGGCAUUCCGAGGAGCAUGCCUGUUUGAGUGUCAUUAAAUUCUCAAGACCUGUCUGCUUUUUUGAUAGGUAUUGGAUUUUGGGGGUUGCAGGCUGUUUCAAAUAAAUAGCCUUGCUCUCCUUGAAUGUAUUAGUGGAGAAAAGCCAUUGAACUCCAUUGGUGUGAUAAAACCUAUCAAUGCCAGGAGCAAUAUCACUACUUCUCUCUGCUGUCUAACUGUGACUGUCUGUAUUAAUUAGUAUGGAUGGGGACAACUUGACCAACUUGACCUCAAAUCAGGUAGGACUACCCGCUGAACUUAAGCAUAUCAAUAAGCAGAGGA